UGAGGAAUAUUGCACAAUGGGCGAAAGCCUGAUGCGGCAACGCCGCGUGAGCGAUGAAGGCCUUUGGGUCGUAAAGCUCUGUCCUUGGGGAAGAAACAAAUGACGGUACCCUUGGAGGAAGCCCCGGCUAACUACGUGCCAGCAGCCGCGGUAAUACGUAGGGGGCGAGCGUUAUCCGGAAUUAUUGGGCGUAAAGAGUGCGUAGGUGGUCUUGUAAGCGUGGGGUGAAAGGCAGUGGCUCAACCAUUGUUAGCCUUGCGAACUGUGAGACUUGAGUGCAGGAGAGGAAAGUGGAAUUCCUAGUGUAGCGGUGAAAUGCGUAGAUAUUAGGAGGAACACCAGUGGCGAAGGCGACUUUCUGGACUGUAACUGACACUGAGGCACGAAAGCUGGGGAGCAAAC
rnacentral:rRNA from 1 species